GGUGUACGCGUUGUGUUUUUCGUGGUGCGUGCACUCUUGCCGUUCUCUGACUCAUAAUACGUUUUUUUUUGGAUGAGUCAGCCUUGGAAACGCCCGAGUGGAUGCCAUUUUAACGAACAGGCAAUAUUUCGAGAGGGCAAUUGCCAGUCAAGUGAAUCAAACUGACUUUCCGGCGAUAAAAAGCCUCUUUUUCAAAUAUCUUUGCAUUCCCACUACGUCCGUUGAAUAGGAGAGAACAUUUACAAGGCAAUGUGAACUCCCUUUUAUUUCUCAACUUAAACUUUUGGCAGAAAUAAAUAAACAACAAUAAUAAACAAUAA